UCGCCCAGCGCGCAGAAUAAGUGGUAUAGCCUUUUCCUUAUUCUUUUUCCAAUCGACUUCAAAAAUCCAUAAACAAUUCAAAUUAACUCCAAAUUUGAUGAUUCAAAUUCCCAGUAACUCCAUAAAUCUUGAUUUACCAGUUGGUGUAACAUGCAAAUUUUUCCAGAAACUUUUUCUUCACAAACAUUUAUCAAAUUUUGUUUUUCCUAUUUCUGUGAUAAACUUUAGAAAAUCACAGAGAGCCCAUUCUUGAUCCAAAUUCCAUAAUUCAAAAUCCUAGAUGUCUAUAAGUUCAAAACUUAGUUUUUGAACAUUUUUGCUAAUACUUUCUGUAUCACCUCAAAUAAUGGUCUAUUUCUUUAUAUAUAGCCAACUUUGCAAAUUCAUGGGAAACUCAUCUCAACUCCAAAUCCAGUGAAACCAAUUCCUAGAUGCUUAUGAAAACAUCCUUUGUUAAAUGGGUGCCUUUGCUCAUUUUUUAAAAAUAUAUUUCUGUACACUUCUUGCAAACCCAUUAAUCCCUUGAUUCCAUCAUAUUGAAAUGUUCAGAGAUGUCCAUUGAUCAAAUCCUAAUGAAACCACUUUGGUCAUCCCUCAUAUGACCAGAGGUAUCCUACAAAAGUCCAACUCACAUUUUUAGAGCACUUUUAUUUCCUGCCUUGUUGUGUUGCUUAUUAUGGUUGCUUUCGACGAUAGUUGACGAAGUAGACGAAAUGCUCGGAGUUGGACCAGAGAUAUUUGAAGACCUCGAAGACUUUGUUAAAACAGGCAAGCAGCCCUUUGACCAUGUCUAUGAAGCCCUUUUAUGCAUGUCAUAUAGCUCUUUAUUAUCGUGGCAUCGGAAUCAUGAUGAGAUGGUGAACCACGUGGGUUGGUUUCCUCUGUUACUUCCUCAUUGAUACUUGCAUUGUGCACGACCCUACCUUCUUAUGAGGGUUAUGCCGGUGGGAGUAGAUAGGAUGCUAAAGUAGUUGCUACACAAAAAGGGACGGGUUUAUGCAUGGUGAAGGAGACAAAGCUUUUUCAAAAGACUUUUUGAAAACCUCAUCGGGUCCACUUAUGCCCGAGGGAGAUGAUGAGAUGGGUAACCACUUGAUGAUGAAGUGGUGUACCGAGGCAAGUGUGUGUGUUGAUUUCGAAAACGGAUUAGAUUUAAGAUUUGAUGACUGUCCCAAUGUUACAUGCGCAACCACUCUACCCUUAUAUGGGAAAGGGCAUUAUUGAGUACCUAGACCGAUACUAGCUUGGGGCCUGCAUUACUAGUGACGGGAGAGUUGUUGGUGCGCUCUCUCGAGACGGGGUCGUGCCAGGUAGGGCGGCCAUGACCAUUUUUAUGGGGCACCGGACACACCGUUGGUACCCCAUGCCAGUGGUAUGUGAUAAAUAUGGGAGCAAGGCUCCACGAAAAUGUUAUGUGAAAUGUUGGGCACGGGGGCUACUGCCAAUCGAGUGGACUCCAUGUUAGUGUCGUCUAGGGAAAGGUAGUGAUCGGGUGCUUACCCCGGGUACUUGAGGUAUCGCGGGUCGUGGAUGACACGGAAAUUCCCCGGAUCUUGUGGGUACAGUGUGCAACCUCUGCAGAAUGUAAAACUAUUCAAAUAGCCGUGUCCACGGUCAAGGACGGUUGGGCGGUGCUGCUUAAACUAUGUCCAGAGUUUUGCAACCAUGUGUGUGAGCUAAUAAAACUACUUGGGUCAAGUCAAAGGACUUGAAAUGAUUGAGUUGGGUUGAUGCCCACUCUAUUUAUGUUGAUAUCUGUAACCUGUCCUCAUGGUUACUUGAAUUCUCUUGAUGCAUGCCUUACAAAGUUGUUGAACAUGUCAUUGCACUCAAAACUAGCUUUCUGCAAAAUUUACCUAUAUCAUGCAUUGUUGUAUCUUGAACCAAAACAUGGGUUGCUUGCGAGUACAUUCAAAGUACUCAUUGGCUUGCCACUGGUUAUUUAAUUGACCAGGCAUGGAAGAACCGGAGUUCGAAGAAGAGUUCUUUGGAGACGAACAUGCGAACUAGGACGUUUCCCAGUCAAAAUGCUUGUAGGGUUAAGGCAGAUGGCAUGGGUUCUACUUAUCGACGAAGAUUUCUGCUUAUGUUUCAUUUGAUGCUCAGCCCUUAAGGCUUUAUCAAUGUAAGACUUGACCAUAAUGGUCAUAAUCUGUGUAAGACGGUAUGUAUGGAUGUAAGACUCUUGCUAUUCAGCUUCUGUGUGUUCAGUCAGCAUGUAUCUCUGGGAUCACUGUACACGUGCAUUCGGUGAUCUCGACUUAUGAGUCGGGGUCCCCACAAUGUUAAAGGUGCCAAUGUUGAUUUUUGUAAGGAAAACUACCUGGUAGUUUUGCAUACUGAGUUGCAUCAGUGUAUUAUCUCAUAUCAUGCACAUUACUAAAUUGUAGUGUUGCUCUGGUUGCCCAUUCAUUCAUUGUGUCAAUGUUGCUUUCGUAUUACCUUACCUGGAUGAUGAUAGUUGUGCCAUAUUGUGUUAAUUUGGUCUAGGCUAGUUGCCCAAACGUUCAUUGUGUCAAUGUUGCUUUCCUAUUAUCUGACUUGGCCAAUGAUAGAACUGCUAGUGUGUUAAUUUGGUGCAGGCUGUUGAAGAUAAGAAGACAAACUCUAAAAACAACAAGGCAACCCCAUUGUUUCUUUCCAAUAAAUCUAGGCCAGGUAAUAUGGCAACAACUCAUGAUUAAUCUAUUUGGUUCCCCUCCUAAUUUAUGUUAUGAUUCAGUGGUUGAGACACUCUCCACUAUCAAUAAUACAAGCCUGCCAAAAUCGCCAUCUGAAUCUGUUCAGUUUCCUUUGUCUCGAAUGCAACGGAAAAAAUGUAUGUUUGUGAACCAAUUAAUGGCUGAAGCAAUGAUGGAAAUGGUGGAGGAAUCAGAGGUGCAGAUUCGUGCGCAACAACAACUGAUCAAUGUUUUCAG
rnacentral:lncRNA from 1 species